rnacentral:rRNA from 1 species
GACGAACGCUGGCGGCGCGCCUAACACAUGCAAGUCGAACGGAGCUGAGAGAAGCUUGCUUUUCUUAGCUUAGUGGCGAACGGGUGAGUAACGCGUGAGUAACCUGCCCUGGAGUGGGGGACAACAGUUGGAAACGACUGCUAAUACCGCAUAAGCCCACGAUCCGGCAUCGGAUUGAGGGAAAAGGAUUUAUUCGCUUCAGGAUGGACUCGCGUCCAAUUAGCUAGUUGGUGAGGUAACGGCCCACCAAGGCGACGAUUGGUAGCCGGACUGAGAGGUUGAGCGGCCACAUUGGGACUGAGACACGGCCCAGACUCCUACGGGAGGCAGCAGUGGGGGAUAUUGCACAAUGGGGGAAACCCUGAUGCAGCGACGCCGCGUGGAGGAAGAAGGUUUUCGGAUUGUAAACUCCUGUCGUGAGGGACGAUAAUGACGGUACCUAACAAGAAAGCACCGGCUAACUACGUG